rnacentral:lncRNA from 1 species
GCACUUCCUCUGAAUAAAGAAAAAAAAGUCAGGUUUCGAGGUUGUGCAAUUCGUCUAGAUUGCCUCGUACGAUGAUGUGUAUUUUUUCCCAGACAGUAGCACUAAUUCUCACCAAAACCUCGCGGUUACAGAUUCUUUGCAACAUUAUUACUCUUGCAAUAAAAUAUAUACUGAGAAAAAAAGUUUUACCCGUUCGGAAUCGUGUCGUGUAGAGAAAGAG